rnacentral:rRNA from 1 species
UGCCAGCCGCCGCGGUAAUACGGAGGGUGCAAGCGUUGUCCGGAUUUAUUGGGUUUAAAGGGUACGUAGGCGGAUUUUUAAGUCCGUGGUGAAAGCCUACAGCUUAACUGUAGAACUGCCAUGGAUACUGGAAAUCUUGAAUUCAGUUGAGGUAAGCGGAAUUUAUGAUGUAGCGGUGAAAUGCAUAGAUAUCAUAAAGAACACCUAUUGCGAAGGCAGCUUGCUGGACUUGAAUUGACGCUGAGGUACGAAAGCGUGGGGAGCGAACAGGAUUAGAUA